AGUUGAUCAUGGCUCAGGAGUGAACGCUAGCGGCAGGCUUAACACAUGCAAGUCGAGGGGCAGCGCGGUGUAGCAAUACACUGGCGGCGACCGGCGAAAGGGUGAGUAACGCGUGAGCAACAUGCCCGUAGGUGGAGGAUAGUCGAUGGAAACGUCGCGUAAUACUCCGUAACAACAGAGGCUGCAUGGUCUUUGUUUAAUAGAUUCAUCGCCUACGGAUUGGCUCGCGUCCCAUUAGCUAGUUGGCGGGUAACGGCCCACCAAGGCGACGAUGGGUAGGGGUUCUGAGAGGAAGGUCCCCCACAUUGGAACUGAGACACGGUCCAGACUCCUACGGGAGGCAGCAGUGAGGAAUAUUGGUCAAUGGCCGAGAGGCUGAACCAGCCAUGCCGCGUGGCCGGGAGGACGGCCCUAUGGGUUGUAAACCGCUUUUGUCGGGGAGCAAUAAGGUCCACGUGUGGUCCGAUGAGAGUACCCGGCGAAUAAGCAUCGGCUAACUCCGUGCCAGCAGCUGC
rnacentral:rRNA from 1 species